AAAUCAAUAUACUACAAAACAAAUACUUUUUAAGCAAGUUUACUUUUUACAAUUUUAAAAUAAUUUUGAACUACUGAAAAAAUUUAUUACAUCUAUGCUUUCGUAAAUAGACUCCUAAUAUGAAAAUAUGUAGUAACGGGAAAGAUUGAGUAAAGAUAAGACAGAAACAUAGCAAUAAAAAGCAAAGCAAAAAUGUAUAUAAAGAUUUAUGACAAAUAUAAAAAUUGCUUUUGAAGACUGAUAUAUCCUAUUGCUAGUACCUAAAUCAUUAGAUAAAAAUUAAAAUUAUUAAAGUGAGUUUGAACUAUUCUACGAUUUGCAUUUAGAUCCUAUAUAUUAUUUGUUGUUAUUCAUCUCACAAUUUUCCCAACUUGUGCUGUGACAAAUAUUUCCAAAUGAUUGAUUGCAUGUAUAUAUUUUUACUUUCGGAUCAUUAAUGUAUUUUUUUUCUAUGAAAUUUCAAAAAAAUAUUCUUAUUAUGAACAAUUAAUAGUGACUAAUCAGAAUUUAGAAGGAUAUUUGAAACAUUAAAUUAUGUUUUAAUAAAUUUGCUCAAUUUACAAUUGUUACUAGAAAUGACUCAUGCGUAUUUAAUUGCAAUACCAAUAUGCCUGUACAUUAUGCAUAAAACAAAUUAAUACUUUGUUACCUGGUGAUUCAAACUUCACUUAUUUACGCGCAAUCUUAAUGUUUGAAAAGGUGAAUGUUAAUAAUGACAAUUAAUUAAAGCCAGUAAACUAUUUUUUUUUUGUCUGAAUAAAGGUAUCUUUUCUUCCAAUGGAUUUGGAUUAUUGUAUCUUAAAAUAAUGGGAAUUGCUAUCUAGAAAUUAACUAAAUCAGGAGAGCAGGCAUAAGUUUGGUCCCCUUAAUAUUCAUUUUAUUUGUUUGUAUUUAUAGAACCAUUCAAGCAAAUGAAAAGAAAACUUUUGUCACUCUUAAAACUUAUAUAAAGAAAAAAUUUGUAACUUUUGAACGACUUCGUAACGAGAUUCAUAACUUUCUGUAUUGUACAACAGAAUAAUUUUGUUUGUAUAAUGUGUGAAUUGUAAGGUAUAUAAAUUUUGACAUUGUUUAAAACUAUAUAAUUUUUAAUGAUGAAAUUCAAAAUUCAGGAUUAAUCACUAAUAUAGGAAAGAAUAUAUAAAAUAAGACUUUUAUCGCAAUUUCGUACUUUUUCACUGAUUCUAAUUGAUCUUUGGAUUUUUCUUUUUUAAAAUUACUUAGUUUAAAAUGAUAAAAAAAAAUUUGUAGCUCAGAAUUGAAAAUUUUUUGCUCAUUAUUAAAAUAUUUUGUUAAAAAAAUAAUAUUAAAUUACAUUUUCAAUGAAAUUAUCUUACAAUAUAUCAGUAUAAUAUUAUCUUACAAUAAUUGAGUGAGUUUCAUACCUCUUCAAAAAAAUUUUUUGAUUUGCUUAAAUAGUUCCAAACCUAUGAUGAAAUAUGCAAAAAUUAAAAUUAACACAUUAACUUUCAAUGGCUGUUCAGACUAAAUUACUGUGGCCAUAUUUUACAGAUGUCCACUUUGAAGAUUAAGAAUUUGAAUCUGUGAGGGAAAAAGAAUGCAGAGAGAUUCAGAGAAAUUAAGUUUUAACAGACAAAAAGAUUUUAUGUCUGAUUUAGCUACUUUAAAUAUUAUCUGCUCUAAUUAGCAUAUUUAAGUUUAUUCCUUUAAAUCAUUAGAAAUAAAUGUUAGAUGAUAAUAUGAUGAUUACAUUAAAAAUAAUUUAGGUGUUCUUUUUUAGUUUGUGCAUUGUGCAGUAAAGCUGACUUAUCUUGUAUUAUGUACAGAAUAGAUUUAGUUUCAACUAUCUCCUCUUAAAAUCUUUGAUUUAACAAUAUCUCUAGUUUUUAUUAAAGGAAUAGUUAUUUAAUUUGUAUAUUUUUUGAAAAAAAAUAAGCAUUCUCUUUUUUUAUUUAAAAAAAUUAAAUUUAUGCUAUCGCUUCUGUAUAUGAGAAUAAGAAUUUAUUUUAAAAAUUGAAUUUUUUCUUCUAGAAUAACUUGAGUAAUUUUGAUUUAAUUAACUCAAAAAACUAGCUACAAUUAUUUCUUCUACCUUUCUUUACUUUCUAUUAACUUUUGAAAUUUGAUAAUUUCAUGAAAUAUUUUUAAAAACAGCACACUGUUGAUUUUAACUGAAUGAUUUUUUCACUAGAUUAUAUGCAAAUAUCAUGCUCAUAUAAAAACGUUUUGCAACUUAUUUGGUUCAUUUUUGUCAGUGUUCUAUGUUAGCAGUGAAAACAUUGAAAUUAAAAUCUUUAGCUUUUCUAUUUUAAUAUAAUGAGGUAUCUGAAGCUAAUUUGAUCAAUAUUAUUUUUCUAACAAUUGCUUGUAGUGAUGUAGAAACUGAGCUCCAUUUACACACUGCCAUUAUCAUUUCAAUUAGAUGACAAAAAUCCAUUCAAAUUUGGCGGAAAAGAAUUUAAUUGUCUUUUCAGACUUCCAUCACUUCACUUGUUUAACCACUUUGUUAGUGUUAAGUGUAAAUAUCUCAAUCAGUUCAUAUGUUUCGUUUUUAUGAAUGAAGAUUAGGUUUUAAUCUUUGAAUUCCAAAUUGCUAUACAAUAAAUGUUUGUAUAAUUUGUAAUACAUAAGACUGAAAUAAUUUCACCUUUUAUUUCAAAUAUGUAAGUCUCCAAGAAGAGAAAAAGAAAUCUUACACUUGCAGCUUAUAGUUUUAUUAUCAUUCAGAAAAUUCGUUCUACUGUUUGUCUAUUUUUUUAGUCGUUUUCAUAAUUUGGUGUCUGUCUGAAAAAUAUUUUUUUCUUGAAGAUGUCAAAGUUAACAUAAUUUUUGUGUAUUAAAUGAACAUUAGGUAGAUACUUUCCAAGUUCAAAAAUAUAAAAUCAUAAGAAGAAAGAAAAAAAAAAUAGCAUUCCUAAUACUAUUUAUUUAUAAGUUUUGAUAGUAUUUUAGAAAAAUAGUAUUUAAAGUGAUAAGUUUGAGGAAACUUAAAGAAUAGUGGUUCUUGAAAUAAACCCUAAAAUGUUUCUCUUCUGCUCUGUCAUAUUUUAAACUUAAGUGUUAAAUACUCUUAAAAGAUUGUAAAAAUAAACUAAUAAAACUUUAAACUUUUUUUUUUAACUUAGUACCGCUGUCCUUAAAUUGAUGUCAUAUUUGUCAGCACUCAUUUACUUUUUUUUAACAACACAAUAGGAAUUCAUGGAUGGGAACACUUUUUCCAGUUUUCGAGUGACACCAAUUUUAAAAAAUGAUUCUGUUUCGAUUGAAUGGCUGGAGUUUUUUUUUCUUUUAAAUGUUUCUAACAAUUGUUUUUACAGCUAUUUGUAUGCCUCUUUUUAUGUUAGGAAAGAAAAACUAAUAGAAUUAAAACACUGGAAUAUUUUAUAUAAUGUGAGAAUAUGUGUGAACUUGUUUGCUUUAAUUUAAGUCUUCAAUAGGGAAAUGCAUUUAUAAAUUUUAAUUAUAAAAUAUAUUUUUCGAAAAAGUGUCUUGUAUGUUUAUAACUCUUUUUUUUUUAAAUGUAAGUAUUGUUUUCCAGCUUAUAUAUGUAAACAUUAUCUAUUAUAUAUAUAUGUGAACUUGACCAAAAUAUUUCAUAAUUUAACAACAGUUGCCCUUCACGAUUGGAAAACAUAUGGUGAAAUGAGGAGCUUAAUUUUAUAUAAGUAUCCCUUAGAAGCUGUCAAUGCCACCUUCCUAGUCAAAAUUUAGAACAGGAUUUAAGAGAAAACAAGAAUCAAAAGUAUCCCUUUGAUAGAGCUGAGAAAUUUCACAGAGGUAUUCGUAAAUUAGGCUUAACUGUCUGUGUGAAGAUGGCUUAAGUUAUUUGGACCAGUUUCAAGUUUUGAUCAGUGAAAUAAGUAUGUUCUUUACAUUGUAUAAAAUGACUUAACUCUUUUGCAUAUUUUUUUUUUAGAAAUUAACAUUUUUUGUUUAGAAAAUGUAAAUAGAC
rnacentral:lncRNA from 1 species